rnacentral:lncRNA from 1 species
GGCUACUGUGCCUUGUCUUGGGCUACCUGUGUCCAACGCACAGGUAACCCAAGACAUCGAUUUUUUUAUUUCUUUCGACGGUGAGGACAAGGUUCCUGGUGUGGUUCCCGUGUGAUUGAGGACGUGGUUCCCCUUGUGAUUGAUUAUUUUUCUAUUUCUUUUGAAAAAAAACGUCUUGGGCUACUGUGCCUUGUCUUGGGCUACCUGUGUCCAACGCACAGGUAACCCAAGACAUCGAUUUUUUUAUUUCUUUCGACGGUGAGGACAAGGUUCCUGGUGUGGUUCCCGUGUGAUUGAGGACGUGGUUCCCCUUGUGAUUGAUUAUUUUUC